GAUGAACGCUGGCGGCGUGCCUAAUACAUGCAAGUCGAGCGAACAGAUGAGGAGCUUGCUCCUCUGACGUUAGCGGCGGACGGGUGAGUAACACGUGGAUAACCUACCUAUAAGACUGGGAUAACUUCGGGAAACCGGAGCUAAUACCGGAUAAUAUAUUGAACCGCAUGGUUCAAUAGUGAAAGACGGUUUUGCUGUCACUUCUAGAUGGAUCCGCGCCGCAUUAGCUAGUUGGUAAGGUAACGGCUUACCAAGGCAACGAUGCGUAGCCGACCUGAGAGGGUGAUCGGCCACACUGGAACUGAGACACGGUCCAGACUCCUACGGGAGGCAGCAGUAGGGAAUCUUCCGCAAUGGGCGAAAGCCUGACGGAGCAACGCCGCGUGAGUGAUGAAGGUCUUCGGAUCGUAAAACUCUGUUAUUAGGGAAGAACAAUUGUGUAAGUAACUAUGCACGUCUUGACGGUACCUAAUCAGAAAGCCACGGCUAACUACGUG
rnacentral:rRNA from 1 species